UAAGUUUCGAAGUUUUCGGGCUUCGGCUCGACUCUCCCACCCUUUGUGAACGUACCUCUGUUGCUUUGGCGGCUCCGGCCGCCAAAGGACCUCCAAACUCCAGUCAGUAAACGCAGACGUCUGAUAAACAAGUUAAUAAACUAAAACUUUCAACAACGGAUCUCUUGGUUCUGGCAUCGAUGAAGAACGCAGCGAAAUGCGAUAAGUAAUGUGAAUUGCAGAAUUCAGUGAAUCAUCGAAUCUUUGAACGCACAUUGCGCCCCUUGGUAUUCCGGGGGGCAUGCCUGUUCGAGCGUCAUUACAACCCUCAAGCUCUGCUUGGAAUUGGGCACCGUCCUCACUGCGGACGCGCCUCAAAGACCUCGGCGGUGGCUGUUCAGCCCUCAAGCGUAGUAGAAUACACCUCGCUUUGGAGUGGUUGGCGUCGCCCGCCGGACGAACCUUCUGAACUUUUCUCAAGGUUGACCUCGGAUCAGGUAGGGAUACCCG
rnacentral:rRNA from 1 species